rnacentral:rRNA from 1 species
GAGCUUGCUCCUUGGGUGGCGAGUGGCGGACGGGUGAGGAAUACAUCGGAAUCUACUCUGUCGUGGGGGAUAACGUAGGGAAACUUACGCUAAUACCGCAUACGACCUACGGGUGAAAGCAGGGGAUCUUCGGACCUUGCGCGAUUGAAUGAGCCGAUGUCGGAUUAGCUAGUUGGCGGGGUAAAGGCCCACCAAGGCGACGAUCCGUAGCUGGUCUGAGAGGAUGAUCAGCCACACUGGAACUGAGACACGGUCCAGACUCCUACGGGAGGCAGCAGUGGGGAAUAUUGGACAAUGGGCGCAAGCCUGAUCCAGCCAUACCGCGUGGGUGAAGAAGGCCUUCGGGUUGUAAAGCCCUUUUGUUGGGAAAGAAAUCCAGCUGGCUAAUACCUGGUUGGGAUGACGGUACCCAAA